rnacentral:lncRNA from 1 species
CCAUAAUUUUCGCAAGGCUGAGUGUGCAUGUGAUAGGCACUGACACGUCUGGAAAAGCAAGUGCCUCUUCGAUAUCUGGAAUCGGCGCUUCGACAAACUGCCCGUGAUUUCCGCAAAGCGGAGUGUGCAUGUGAUAGAUGAUGACACGUUUAGAAAAGCAGAUGCCUCUCCGAUUUCUGAGCUUGCCUCUUCGAGUUCUGAGCUCCGUCGAGUGCAGAGGUUGCAUGUGACAAGUGCGGACAAAUCUGGAAAAGAAGAUUGGCCCGUGGUUUCUGAGCAAGCCCAACUUUUGAGAAAGCUAGUGCCUCUUCGAUUUUUGAAUUGGCCUCUUCGAUUUCUAAGCUCGCCUCUUCGAUCUCUGAAAUCCCGUCGAGUGCUGG